GCCAAAGGGGGUUAUUGGCCUUCAGUAACGGCGAGUGAGCGGCAAAGCUCAAAUUUGAAAUCUGGUACCUUUGGUGCCCGAGUUGUAAUUUGAAGAUAGUUUUCUGGUGCUGGCCCUUGUCUAUGUUCCUUGGAACAGGACGUCACAGAGGGUGAGAAUCCCGUCUGGCGGGGUGUCCAGUGCUUUGUAGAUUUCUAUCGACGAGUCGAGUUGUUUGGGAAUGCAGCUCUAAGUGGGUGGUAAAUUCCAUCUAAAGCUAAAUAUUGGCGAGAGACCGAUAGCGAACAAGUACAGUGAUGGAAAGAUGAAAAGAACUUUGAAAAGAGAGUGAAAAAGUACGUGAAAUUGUUGAAAGGGAAGGGUAUUAGAUCAGACUUGGUGUUUUGUGAUUAUCUUCCCUUCUUGGGUUGUGCACUCGCAUUUCACUGGGCCAGCAUCGGUUCGGGUGGUAAGAUAAUGACAUUGGAACGUGGCACUGCCUUCGGGUGGUGUGUUAUAGCCCUUGUUGAUGUUGCCUACCUGGACCGAGGACUGCGGCUUUUGCCUAGGAUGCUGGCGUAAUGAUCUAACACCGCCCGUCUUGAAACACGGACCA
rnacentral:rRNA from 1 species